AGUGCAGCAGCUGCAGCUGAUGUCAGUCUAGCUGUGAUUGCUAUUUCCCAUGACUAGAGGUUCUCUCAGACGGGGUCAUUUAACUCCUUCAACUGAGCCUCCUGAGACCAAAUGGCGGAUUUUGUCAAGGAAAUGCUCAACUGUGCCAGAAAACAGUGCCCUCAGGGCUCAAAAUGGGGCCCAGAGAGCAGGUGAAACGCAAACCAAUCCCAGCCAUAACAAAGACCAGCGAGCUCUCUGGGGGACACCAGCUGCCUGUGAGGAGUCUGACUUCCACGCAACGCCCACCGAUUACAUGGCCCACAAAGCAAUAUGCUAUCAACAAAAGCCACUUUACGUGAAGUAGUGCUGCAUACCUGUGUGAACAGCCGCAAUGGAUCCUAAGUAGCAGUCCACGCAACCCCUGUCUCCCAACCCCAGGGACUGUUCUAAAGAUACCAAUUGCGUGUGUGUGUAACCUAGUUCGGAGCACAUCAGGUGCCCAGCAUGCAGCAGCCACUGCAGAGGGGAGGAUCCACAACAGACUCACACUCACUCUUCAAGGGCAAGUCUCAAGGACGAGCUCAGUCUAACCUUCCGUCGACCAGCAGCUGGUGCAAAAAGACGCGCCGCUUAUACGACAGAUACCGCAAAAGGGAACAUCAGGCUCGUCUUUUAUGGUGCGCCCUCGUUUACAGCUGAUUUUUGUGUGUGAUAGUAGUUCCUGGAGAGGCGCGACCACAGCAGCGGUGCGUCUCAGCCACGCUAUCAGAGCGAGACAUGAAAAAUCUGUGUCACUUCUUACUUCCACCUUUUAAAUCAGGGGGUUCGAUUUGGCGUACGGCCUCCUCUGGUUGCUAUGGGGACCAACAGAAUCUGUGAUUGUAAUUUUGAAACAGCACAAAACUAAAUUCAGUAGCAAGGUAAAAAUGUUCAAAGAUGAUGUUCUUUUUAUGGAGGAAUGUGGAAACUUGGCAGUAGCACUGACAGAUAUUGAAAAUAUUGGAACAUGGAUAGUCAACUGAACCCUGUUAAUGACUUUUUAUGUGCUGAUGAUCUCUUAACUUUGGAUUAUAUAAAAAGUGACAAAGCUUAAGUUGUUUAGUUAUCAAAUUAAGUUUUAAAUGCCAUUUAUUUUGAAAUGUCUACUGUGACCAUUGGAGAUUGAAAUAAAACCUUGGAUGUUUCAUAAUAUUUGUA